UUAGGAAUAUUGGACAAUGGGGGAAACCCUGAUCCAGCCAUGCCGCGUGUGUGAAGAAGGCCUUAGGGUUGUAAAACACUUUCAUCUGUGAAGAUAAUGACAGUAGCAGAAGAAGAAGCUCCGGCUAAAUUCGUGCCAGCAGCCGCGGUAAUACGAAUGGAGCGAGCGUUGUUCGGAAUCACUGGGCGUAAAGGGUGCGCAGGCGGUCAUGAAAGUCAGAAGUGAAAUCCCGGGGCUUAACCCCGGAAUGGCUUUUGAAACUCCAUGACUGGAGUACUGGAGAGGUUGGCGGAAUUCCGAGUGUAGAGGUGAAAUUCGCAGAUAUUCGGAGGAACACCAAUGGCGAAGGCAGCCAACUGGACAGUUACUGACGCUCAUGCACGAAAGCGUGGGGAUCAAACAGG
rnacentral:rRNA from 1 species